UACGUAGGGUGCGAGCGUUACUCGGAAUUACUGGGCGUAAAGUGUGCGCAGGUGGCUUCGCAAGUCGAGUGUGAAAUCCCCGGGCUUAACCUGGGAAUUGCGCUCGAAACUACGGAGCUGGAGUAUGGCAGAGGGAGGUGGAAUUCCACGUGUAGCGGUGAAAUGCGUAGAGAUGUGGAGGAACACCAAUGGCGAAGGCAGCCUCCUGGGCCGAUACUGACGCUGAGGAGCGAAAGCGUGGGGAGCAAACAGG
rnacentral:rRNA from 1 species